AAGUAACACUCUGUGGCAGAUGGUCAAAACUGUCUGACAGAAUCUGAGCUUGCCAUAGCAACAAAGUCGAACCUAUUCCAGUGCUCUCUCUUCUAUGAGACAAGCCAUUAUAUAAACUUAGACAGU
ensembl:snoRNA small nucleolar RNA SNORA28